UAUUUCUUUUAGAUUCAACAUGACUAUUUGAUGCCAAAGUUAGUUGGAACUCUUUACUCAAACACAGACAUCCGUUGCUGACUUGCUGCUGCUGCCUUACCACAGGCAGGAAAAUUAUUCUUUUCUUCAUAAAAUUUCAAGUUUUAUUUUUUGUCUGGACCCCCCAUACCCCCAAUCUCAUCAGAUUUAUUUGUGUGUGAUGUGCAUCUGAUAAUUCAUUUCUCGUGAGACGUGAUGUUAAGCUUCGGAGUUCGGAAAGCAAUCCAUCCGUUCCGUACAGUCAAACGUGGUAAUCGUGAGGGAAUUCUUUUGGCUGUCGUUAGGUGGCUAAAAUGGUUUGUCCCCCAGCCACCAGGUGACUCGAGUGUCCUCGUGAGGACGAAAUAUUUGCCAUUUGUUUCCGAGAGACCGAGACGCUGACUGAAAGUGUAUUCGAAAUACAUUACGGAAUUGCGGUGUCGAUCUACAUUUUCAGCCAUGAAAUGUAAUUGGCAAUGUGGCUUAUAAUUUCACUUGGCCAAAUAAUGUGACCACUUGGGUCGAAACUGCUGUCCAUUUGGCCGAAAUGUCGGCCAUUCGGCUGUACGUCUCAUCUCGUUCUGAAACACUUCAGGUUCAGAGCUAGUAAAAGAUGGAGAUCCCUUUGCUCAACUGUUGCAGAAGUUGAGAACAUGACAAAGUCUGAGCUUCAUGGCUGUAGUAUCAUUAAUGUGGUUUUGUUGCAGCCAGCUGGUGAAAGGUGUGAUCGAGUCAUGGUUGAGUUGCAGCUUCUGCAUGCAGUUUAUCGAGCUGGUGCUAUCCCAAGUGUAACUGCAGGAAAACUUCUUGAAUUGUUGAUCGCUACAGAUUUAGUUAAUGACUAGAGAGUAGACCCUUUUGCUUCUCUGUUGUAAUUAUGAGUUAAGACUAUUAUGGAAAUAUGGAUUACAUUUGUUAUUUUCAAGUUGUAAAACUUGACAACUACAAAUUCCUUUGUAAGAUUUAUCAAGUCAGGUGAAGUCUGCGCUUCUUUGUUGCAGUCUUAUGUGCGCAUGGAUUCGUUGCAGUCAUCCAGUGAAAGGUGUGAUUAAAUUGAGCUGUUGCAUGCAGUCUUUGGUGCUGAUGUUCUCCUGGAGUGUGGGAGAGUCCCAUGCUUCAAUUCUUCUGUGAUCAGCCAUAUCUGAGUUGACGCUGGAUCAUGCUGCAUUGUGGUUGCCAAAAUGUUGAACAUCUAGUAGAACUGCAAGAAGACUCCUUGAAAUGGUUUAUGUUUACGUAGCAGUGAUGUUGCUGUCCAAUAUGGCAUGUUGUUGCAGCCUAUACUGGUGAAAGUUAUUUUGCAUCGAGUUAUGCUGUUGCUGUUCCUUGGUGCCGGACUGCUGGUGUUGUGCACAAAAGUUACAUCCAGUUUUAAUUGUUAUUUGUGUCUAUGCAGUUAACCGUUUAUAUGUUGAAAAGGAACAGAAAAGUUUCUUGGUGCUGAAUUGCUGGUGUUGUGCUACAUCAGUUACAUCCAGUAUUUUGUUUAAUUGCUACUUGUGUCUAUGAAGUUAACCGUUUAUAUGUUGAGAAUGAAAAAAAAUAGUAAUACGGGGAAUUUUUACGUUGAACAAAUAAUAAACAUGCCUUCGCGAUUGGGAAACCAGCGAGGAGGAGAUUGGGGGGGAUGGGGGGCAAUUGAUUUUCAUUA
rnacentral:lncRNA from 1 species